UCAGACUGUGCGUAACUAAUUAAAAAUAUUGAAAGUGUCAAAAGUAUUAUGUGGGCUUGAUAGUAUCAAUUAUAUUUCCUCAACAUAAAUAAGUAUUUGAACUUUCUUAUACUGAUAUUUAUACCCUAAUACAAUUAAUGUCUACCACAUUGACCAUAAACAUACAUUUUAAAAGGCAAUUAAAAUAAUAUUUAUACUAUUAAUAUUAUUUGCUAAAACCAUUCAGCAUGUUAUAUUUAAAUAUUUACAAUUAAAUAUAAUGUGUUAAGGGUGCUGUGUAUUAUUCAAUAAAUAUUUUGGUGUUGAAAUGACUGCCUUAUCAGUAUUUCUCAAAUUAUGCAAUUUUUGGCUUAGACACAGCAUGGUAUCAGAUAAGAGAAUAGCCAGUCCCUAUCAGUCCUCCAUCUAAGCCUAACUAAGGGGUGUUGAUAUACUUUUGAUUUGUUCAGGCACCAUCUAUUUGAGAACCGCAGAUAGGAAGUUAUUUUUUGAAAACAAGCAGCAUCAGCAACUGACUUUAAGCUAGAAUUAAGACUUAUUAUUCUAGUGUAAAAUGUCUUGAAAUACUUUCAGCAUGAAGUAUUGUGUGAUGAAAAAAAUGUGUAUUUACUACAAUGUGUAAAUCAACAAUAAAGGAGAUUAAAAGUGGGUGGUUAAAGACAUAUAAAGUGAUAUGGUCUAGUUCAACAACUGCCUGUAUUUUUGGAAUACUGAAGAACAGUCUGUUGUAACAGGUUAAACCCCAUGGAAAGAAUGUGCAUCAUCGCAUCGCCUGCCAAAAAAAGGAGCAAAAGAGAGACUACCUGAUGUAUGGACUUGAAUACCAGGUUUUACCCUGCACAAGCUGGCCGACAUGAGGAGAACAGUAGUGGGAAAACCGCGCCCUCUCCUUGACCAAGAAAAGCUGGAUUUGUUUAGAGGACCUGAUCAAAUGAAAAUAUGCACGAGACGCAUCGCGCAAAGGCCAUGACAGUAUAAUAGUUGCAAAGAAGUUUGACCGGCUGGUGGCAGACUUGGAGAGAAAGAUGAGAGCUGCACUCCGCUGCCUCAAAGAAAUGCUGAAAGGCCUUGAUUGAUAUGCAUCUUUCUUAUGUAUAUAGCUGUUCGUGUGUAUAUACUGUACAUGUUAUUAUAGUAUGCUAUUAUUUUUUGUUUAUUUAUAAUCAAAUUAUCUUUAUAUUUAUUUCAUCAAAUUGCCAUUGAUAUUUAAUUACUCAUGUAUGUUAAAAAAUGUUGGUGUACAUUAAAGUAUAAAAUUGAAUUAUCUUGUAAUUAUUAAAAUA